CUGAUGUCUGCGCCUGCGCGCGGGGUUGGGCCACCUCGGCUUCUGGCUACUUCCCCCCAACCCCGCGCUGAGGCCGGGCCAGGCGAGGCCGGGCCGGGGGUAACACUCUGCGGGUCUGAUCCAGCCAUGCCUGAUAGGAACCGGAAGAGCUUGUAGGAUCUAGUUCACCGAACAUGGAACCAGGCCCGGGCUGUCGGCAGUGAAAGUGUUGGAGUGCUCAUCACUGGGCUGCCAGGAAUUCCCCCAACCUGCUUCUUUGUCCCGUAAAUAUCCCACGCCCCUACUUUGGGGAAGCCAAUCUGAGAUCUGUCCUCCCGUCCCCUCACUUGGCUGCCUAUGAAUAAACCCUUUCUCUGCU